rnacentral:rRNA from 1 species
AUUGAACGCUGGCGGCAUGCCUUACACAUGCAAGUCGAACGGUAACAGGUCUUCGGAUGCUGACGAGUGGCGAACGGGUGAGUAAUACAUCGGAACGUGCCCGAUCGUGGGGGAUAACGAGGCGAAAGCUUUGCUAAUACCGCAUACGAUCUACGGAUGAAAGCGGGGGAUCUUCGGACCUCGCGCGGACGGAGCGGCCGAUGGCAGAUUAGGUAGUUGGUGGGAUAAAAGCUUACCAAGCCGACGAUCUGUGGCUGGUCUGAGAGGAUGAUCAGCCACACUGGGACUGAGACACGGCCCAGACUCCUACGGGAGGCAGCAGUGGGGAAUUUUGGACAAUGGGCGAAAGCCUGAUCCAGCCAUGCCGCGUGCAGGAUGAAGGCCUUCGGGUUGUAAACUGCUUUUGUACGGAACGAAAAGCCUCUUUCUAAUAAAGAGGGGUCAUGACGGUACCGUAAGAAUAAGCACCGGCUAACUACGUG